UUGUAGAAACGAAAACUUUUAUCAAAUGUAAAAUACAAUUUUAGGCGCGCAAAUGAAAUUUCCCUAGGAAGCAGGAAGUACCUAUAUUAUAAAUUACAAAAUAUGCCAACUUCCUGAAGCGCCGUAGGUAAAUCUUCCUUUUCUAACGCUUCCAUUGACCAUGCCGUUUACUGCAAUGGCGGUAUAGAUACUUCAUGAAGAAGAAAGUGGAUUUUCUGCAAUGAUGAUUACGAUUUGAGUGGGCAAGGUCUAGUUGUACUUUUAUAGACUAUAGAAUUCAGUUUCUUCCAUAUUGAUCAGUGUACUAGCCAAUAUAACAUAAUCUUACUUAUAAAAAACAAAAAAAUCCAGUUACCGAUAAUAAUUGUUCCUCAAGGAGUUUUCCGGCUUACAAGAAUAGGACGCCAAAGAAUUCGCGGUAAUCGUUCCCGACGUCUUAGGUAACACUUGCUAUUUUACUAUCUGAAUGGACAAUAAGGUGGAUGUCUCAGAAGUAGAAAAUAUUUCAAUGAUUGGAUCGUCUGAAAUCUUUUAUCUGCCUGAAGUAGCAGAGAUAUCAGAGGUGUUAGAUUCUACUGGUCUCAGUCCACUGACGUCUUCUUUAGAUCAUACUUUAACUCUUCAAGAGGAUAAGCUGCUUUCAUCAGAAGUUAAUAUGGGCAUAGAAGAUACAUGGACUGAAGCAAAUAGUUCUACAUCAGAUUAUGCUAUUCCACUUCCACCACCACCUGGUUUAAAUGAUUUCACAGAUGUUGGUGCAGAUCCUAUUGGUGAUAGCGGAACUGGUAUAGAGUAUGGCCCAUUUUUACCUCCCGGUACUCCAGCUCUAAAUAAUUUGUUUUCAGAAGGUGGAGAUUCUCAAGAUGAUUCUCCCAUGGAAGACGUAGUUUUACGUGCUGGAGUAUGUGGUCUUCGUAAUCUUGGUAAUACUUGCUUUAUGGCUGCUGGUUUGCAAUGUUUGACUGCAACACCACCCGUCCUGCGACAUUUUUUGGAUUUACAGCAGGGGGGGGAAAAACUACCUCCUCCAGGAUCAUUGAUGGCACAUUUUAGCGUACUUCUUGGCAAAAUGUGGUCUGGGAAAUAUAGUGUCCUUAGGCCUACUGAAUUUAAACAGACAUUAGGCGCGUAUCAUUCACAAUUUAAAGACAAUAGACAGCAUGAUUGUCAAGAAUUUCUUGCACUUUUACUGGAUUCUUUACAUGAACAAAUGAAUACAGCAAAGUGUACAAAAAAUUGUCAAACUCCUUCAUCUACAACCACUGCCAACUCUAUUAAUUCAAUUGAGAAUUCAAAUGGGAAAAUGAUGUCCCCAGUCACUGCCACUAGUAAUUCCAAUUGUAAUACGGAUAUAUUGGAAAUGUAUGAUUGCUUACCAUCACCAGAAUGUCCAAAUAGCCCUAAUGUUACUAUGGCAGGUUCACCAAGAGAUUUAGGUUCACCAAUAGGUGAAUUAGAUAGUAUCGCAAAUUCGCCACGAGGAUCGCCUUUGAACGAUGGUGAAGAUGAUGAAGAAACACUUGAUUCUGAUGAAACUGUUGAAGCAAAGUCAAGUACGUUUAUUCACAAUGAAGUUGAUGAAAAAAAAAGUGAAGUUACGCCUUCGUUACGGCUGGAAACAUUAAUCGAACUUUCGAAAAAUGUACCAAAAUAUCAUGGUCUUUAUGAUAUUCAUAAAGAAGCGAAAACUAGCAAUGCAAACUUUUUAGUAACACAACAAGAAUGUAAUAAUGAGAUUCAUUAUGAUUCUCAAAAAUUUCCAAAGGAAAAUGUUCGCAGAAUGCCUUUAGACAAUUCAAAUCUAAUGGAAAAUCAUGAUUUUGACAAUAAAAGUGUCAGUAUCAAAAGAAUAAAGGAAGUCAAUGUUCAAAAAGUCAAUUGUGGUGUAGAUUAUGCAUCAAGUGGUUCUGAUAUAGAAUAUGAUAAUGGCUUAGAAAAAUGUAAUGUAAAACGUAUGAGACUGGAUGAUCAAGAGAAGAAUCAUAAACGUGAUGGUCAAGGAAGCAUUAGUUCUCAAUGUACACGAAUGUCACAAAGCUAUGGAAAUGGUGCUAUAGAGACACAAGAUGAGCUUGAAGCAGACAAACAUUGGGCAAAGCAUUUAAAAUCUAAUAGAAGUAUUAUCGUUGAUACUUUCCAGGGACAGUUUAAAAGCAAGGUUGUUUGUGCAGUAUGUAAUCAUGUUUCUGUUACAUAUGAACCUUUUAUGUAUUUAUCAGUACCGCUGCCCCACGCAAUGGAAAGACAAUUAAACGUUACAUAUGUUCCCGCAAAUGGUGAUCAACCUAUAAAGUGUGUUGUUUCAUUAAAUAAGCAAUCACGCAUUGGAAAAUUGAAGAAGGAGCUACUAAAAACACUUGGCAAAGAAAACAUCGCAGUAAGAAAUAUUGCACUUGCCGAAGUUUUAGAAAAUCAUAUAUCGAAGAUUCUGGAUGACAAUACACUCUUGAGACACAUCAAUGAUACAAAUCGAUCUAUAUAUGCCUUUGAACUCACGGAACCUCCUGAUGCGUACACUUCAGUAUCAGACGGUGGUGGAGAUCGUAUAACGGAGGCUGAUUCCUGUCAAAAAUGUACAGUUAUGGGAGAAGAAAUUCCAUGUACAAUUUGUCUCGAAGAAUUGGACGGAGAUUUGAAAAAGCAUAGCGGAAAUAGUUGCAACUUUGUUAUGUGCGAUACUUGUAUUGAGAAUUACUUCAAAAAUCAAACGGAACCGCAAAUGUGUCCAAUGUGUUCAACCUAUAUGACUGCAUCAUCCUUUAUUAAAAUAGAUCAAACAGGCAGACCAAGACCUGCAAUUAGGAUCUUAAAUGUACCAUUGGUCUUGCGACAUGAUACAACAAAUGAAACCACAAACAAUCGUAAAGGAACAAAACUUUUUGGAUAUCCGCAUUUAGUAAGAUUACCUUCAAGAGUAAACGCUAAGGACUUGUAUGAUAUUGUAAGAAAAAAUGUACCACAAGAAGGAAAUUAUACACUUCAUUUUGUUACAGGACAGGGACAUCAUUGUUCUCGUUGUAUGUAUACUACACAUUGUACAGGGUGCAGUGUACCCGAAACGGGUAUGGUAAUCUUGUGUAAUGGUGAUACUCUAGCUGUACGUUAUACGGAACAGGUUCCUAAGACCGCAUCGCCCAUUGAUCAUGUUAGCGUCAGCAAACAAAGGCCUCAUCAUCCUUUGUCUUUAUAUGAUUGUCUUCAAGCAUUUAGUCAAAGUGAAACAUUAGACGAAUAUAAUCCUUGGUUUUGCCCAAAAUGCGAACGAAAUCGGUGCGCUACGAAAACUCUCACAGUUCAUAGAUAUCCCAAGUUCCUUAUAGUAUAUUUGAAACGAUUUGUAUUUUAUGAGUGUACUAGUAUGAAGUUAGACGAUAAAGUUACAUUUCCCUUGGUUGGUUUGAGCGUUGGACAACACUUAUACGAUCUUUAUGCAUGCGUUUGUCAUUUUGGAGGGGUCUCAGCUGGACACUAUACAGCAUACGCAAAAAAUCCUCGCACUGAUAUGUGGUACUACUACAAUGAUGAAAUUACAAGCAGACAAAAACCUCAAGAGGAAGAUUUUAGCAACGCAUAUAUACUUUUUUACAGUCGGCAAGGGACCAAUUUAAAAUCGUGCAAUAUAUAACCAGUGCUGGAACAAAGAAACUGGCAAAUAGAUAGUGCCAGUGAUAUACAAAGUGUGAGAAACAGAAGAGUAACUGGGAAAUCAAGAGAAGAGUUUACAAGGAAGAUAUGAUUCUUCAGGAAGCGAGGACCGAUCGAUCGAUGGUGGUAUCGUCAUCGAAAGGCUGUCACUGUUGGAGGAUGACGCAUCGUAGCUCUCGGCCACAGUAAAGUCUCGGUGUCGCCUUGAGUGCUGAAAGGAAUGAAAAAUGCAUACGUAAGAACCGCAGAGAAAACUGGGUUAAAGACGCGAGAGGGUCAAGAAACAGGCUGGUGUACGGUUGGCAGGGCGAAUCGAUGGAAGGCACGAUCGACAGUUCAGAUUAGGCACGAUCGAGUUUGGAAAAAGUGCAUCGUUAACGAAAAUUAGAGCAAAGCACUUUAUCCAUUGUCGAUGAUGCAGCUGGCUAGUAUACAUACAUGUGCAUUGUGUCACGGUAUCAUGCUUUUUCUAAGAACAUACGGAAUUUCGUUCGAGUUUGACCAGGCCGGACCGACUUGCCACGAGCCGCUAUUACUUUCCAUUUUUAUUAAAAAGUCGAACUCGGCGAGAAGAGAUGGAACGAAUCGUUAUUAGUAAACUUUGUUACCAAGUAAUUUCUUUUGUGCUCGAGUCGUUGUUGAUACAAUACAUCAUCCGCUACGAAAAUUAAUCUUGUUAAAAAAAACCGCUGGGAAGAUGUUUCGUAAAGGAGAUUGCUUCGUUCUUUGCUACCAGAAGACUUUUAUUUCUUAUUCUUGUUAAUUGUGCCUUUUAUUUAAUUGAUUGAAAAUAAGAAGAAAAGAAAAAGAAAACAAAUAAAUUGUUUCGAGACACGAUGAAAUCCUU